UACGUAGGGUGCAAGCGUUAAUCGGAAUUACUGGGCGUAAAGCGUGCGCAGGCGGUUUUGUAAGUCAGAUGUGAAAUCCCCGGGCUUAACCUGGGAACUGCAUUGGUGACUGGCAGGCUUUGAGUGUGGCAGAGGGAGGUAGAAUUCCACGUGUAGCAGUGAAAUGCGUAGAGAUGUGGAGGAACACCGAUGGCGAAGGCAGCCUCCUGGGCCAACACUGACGCUCAUGCACGAAAGCGUGGGGAGCAAACAGG
rnacentral:rRNA from 1 species